rnacentral:rRNA from 1 species
CUGGCUCAGGAUGAACGCUGGCGGCGUGCUUAACACAUGCAAGUCGAACGAUGAUGCCAGCUUGCUGGCGGAUUAGUGGCGAACGGGUGAGUAACACGUGAGUAACCUGCCCUUAACUCUGGGAUAAGCCUGGGAAACUGGGUCUAAUACCGGAUAUGACUCCUCAUCGCAUGGUGGGGGGUGGAAAGCUUUWUUGUGGUUUUGGAUGGACUCGCGGCCUAUCAGCUUGUUGGUGAGGUAAUGGCUCACCAAGGCGACGACGGGUAGCCGGCCUGAGAGGGUGACCGGCCACACUGGGACUGAGACACGGCCCAGACUCCUACGGGAGGCAGCAGUGGGGAAUAUUGCACAAUGGGCGAAAGCCUGAUGCAGCGACGCCGCGUGAGGGAUGACGGCCUUCGGGUUGUAAACCUCUUUCAGUAGGGAAGAAGCGAAAGUGACGGUACCUGCAGAAGAAGCGCCGGCUAACUACGUGCCAGCAGCCGCGGUAAUACGUAGGGCGCAAGCGUUAUCCGGAAUUAUUGGGCGUAAAGAGCUCGUAGGCGGUUUGUCGCGUCUGCCGUGAAAGUCCGGGGCUCAACUCCGGAUCUGCGGUGGGUACGGGCAGACUAGAGUGAUGUAGGGGAGACUGGAAUUCCUGGUGUAGCGGUGAAAUGCGCAGAUAUCAGGAGGAACACCGAUGGCGAAGGCAGGUCUCUGGGCAUUAACUGACGCUGAGGAGCGAAAGCAUGGGGAGCGAACAGGAUUAGAUACCC